GUGGGGAAUAUUGGACAAUGGGCGCAAGCCUGAUCCAGCCAUGCCGCGUGAGUGAUGAAGGCCCUAGGGUUGUAAAGCUCUUUCAGUGGGGACGAUAAUGACGGUACCCACAGAAGAAGCCCCGGCUAACUUCGUGCCAGCAGCCGCGGUAAUACGAAGGGGGCUAGCGUUGUUCGGAUUUACUGGGCGUAAAGCGCACGUAGGCGGAUCGUUAAGUCGGGGGUGAAAUCCUGGAGCUCAACUCCAGAACUGCCUUCGAUACUGGCGAUCUUGAGUCCGGAAGAGGUGAGUGGAACUCCUAGUGUAGAGGUGGAAUUCGUAGAUAUUAGGAAGAACACCAGUGGCGAAGGCGGCUCACUGGUCCGGUACUGACGCUGAGGUGCGAAAGCGUGGGGAGCAAACAGGAUUAGAAACCCGUGUAUCC
rnacentral:rRNA from 1 species